rnacentral:lncRNA from 1 species
ACUAUUCCUUUCCAUAAGUCUAUCACUGUAUCCCACAUUUGGGGAUCAUGUGCUGCUAUAUUCAGAAUUUUACCUUUGCUUCCUCCUUCUUGUAGUUUAAUUGGUUCUUCUAUUGGCAUUCUUUUACCUGCUGGUUUUAUAUUAUCUCCUCUAAGCUCUGUAUCUGGGUUUAUCCUAAUUGCUGGUCUUCUAGGUACAUUGCCUGUACUAUAAUCUAUUGGUUGGGGAUUAGGGUUUGUUUGUUGGAAUGGGCUAGCACUUGAGGAGCUAGUUGGUUCUAAUUCUG